rnacentral:tRNA from 1 species
UCCCUGGUGGUCCAGUGGCUAAGACUCUGUGCUCCCAACGCAGGGCGCCUGGGUUCAAUCCCUAGUCAGGGAA